UGAAACACAAAUGUUUGUUGU
ensembl:piRNA 21ur-3241 ncRNA